GACAGCAGUAGCCGCGGUAAUACGGAGGGUGCAAGCGUUAAUCGGAAUUACUGGGCGUAAAGCGCACGCAGGCGGUCUGACAAGUCAGAUGUGAAAUCCCCGGGCUUAACCUGGGAACUGCAUUUGAAACUGUCAGGCUGGAGUCUUGUAGAGGGGGGUGGAAUUCCAGGUGUAGCGGUGAAAUGCGUAGAGAUCUGGAGGAAUACCGGUGGCGAAGGCGGCCCCCUGGACAAAGACUGACGCUCAGGUGCGAAAGCGUGGGGAGCAAACAGGAUUAGAUACCCCGGUAGUCCCUGUCUCUUAUAC
rnacentral:rRNA from 1 species